rnacentral:rRNA from 1 species
CCUACGGGCGGCAGCAGUGGGGAAUAUUGGACAAUGGGCGAAAGCCUGAUCCAGCCAUGCCGCGUGUGUGAAGAAGGCCUUCGGGUUGUAAAGCACUUUCAGUGGGGAAGAAAGCCUUGGGGCUAAUACCCUCGAGGAAGGACAUCACCCACAGAAGAAGCACCGGCUAACUCCGUGCCAGCAGCCGCGGUAAUACGGAGGGUGCGAGCGUUAAUCGGAAUUACUGGGCGUAAAGCGCGCGUAGGCGGUCUGAUAAGCCGGUUGUGAAAGCCCCGGGCUCAACCUGGGAACGGCAUCCGGAACUGUCAGGCUAGAGUGCAGGAGAGGAAGGUAGAAUUCCCGGUGUAGCAGUGAAAUGCGUAGAGAUCGGGAGGAUUACCAGUGGCGAAGGCGGCCUUCUGGACUGACACUGACGCUGAGGUGCGAAAGCGUGGGUAGCAAACAGGAUUAGAUACCCUGGUAGUC